CAAUAGCGUAUAUUAAAGUUGUUGCAGUUAAAAAGCUCGUAGUCGGAUGUCGGGCUCGGGCAGGCUGUCGGCUUCGGUCGGACGGCAGGCUCGGGUCUUUCUGCCUGAGGAUCCAUCUCAUUCACUUGGGGUGGGGACGCAGGCCGUUUACUUUGAAAAAAUUAGAGUGUUCAAAGCAGGCCUACGCUUGAAUACAUUAGCAUGGAAUAAUGGAAUAGGACUUUGGUGCUAUUUUGUUGGUUUAUGGGACCGAAGUAAUGAUUAACAGGGACAGUUGGGGCCGUUUAUAUUUCGUUGUCAGAGGUGAAAUUCUUGGAUUUACGAAAGAUAAACUUCUGCGAAAGCAUUCGGCAAGGAUGUUUUCAUUGA
rnacentral:rRNA from 1 species